AGCCGGCCUUGAAAUACCACCCUUUAAUGUUUGAUGUUCUAACGUGGACCCGUGAUCCGGGUUGCGGACAGUGUCUGGUGGGUAGUUUGACUGGGGCGGUCUCCUCCUAAAGAGUAACGGAGGAGCACGAAGGUUGGCUAAUCCUGGUCGGACAUCAGGAGGUUAGUGCAAUGGCAUAAGCCAGCUUGACUGCGAGCGUGACGGCGCGAGCAGGUGCGAAAGCAGGUCAUAGUGAUCCGGUGGUUCUGAAUGGAAGGGCCAUCGCUCAACGGAUAAAAGGUACUCCGGGGAUAACAGGCUGAUACCGCCCAAGAGUUCAUAUCGACGGCGGUGUUUGGCACCUCGAUGUCGGCUCAUCACAUCCUGGGGCUGAAGUAGGUCCCAAGGGUAUGGCUGUUCGCCAUUUAAAGUGGUACGCGAGCUGGGUUUAGAACGUCGUGAGACAGUUCGGUCCCUAUCUGCCGUGGGCGCUGGAGAACUGAGGGGGGCUGCUCCUAGUACGAGAGGACCGGAGUGGACGCAUCACUGGUGUUCGGGUUGUCAUGCCAAUGGCACUGCCCGGUAGCUAAAUGCGGAAGAGAUAAGUGCUGAAAGCAUCUAAGCACGAAACUUGCCCCGA
rnacentral:rRNA from 4 species